rnacentral:rRNA from 1 species
GACGAACGCUGGCGGCGUGCCUAAUACAUGCAAGUCGAACGCAGUGGGGACGGGUGAGUAACCAGUGGGUAACCUCCCACCAGAGGGGAUAACACUUGGACACAGGUGCUAAACCGAUACUGAUGGAUGGACUCGCGGUGCAUUAGCUAGUGGGUGAGGAAACGGCUCACCAAGGCCACGAUGCAUAGCCGACUUUGGAGGGGUAUCGGCACGAAUGGGAUCGGGACACGGCCCAGAAUCCUACUGGAGGCAGCAUUGGGGAAUCUUCGGCAAUGGCCGAAAGUCGGACCGAGCAACGCCGGAUGAGUGAGGAGGGUUUUCGGAUCGUGAAACUCUGUUAUGUGAGAAGAGGUAUCUAACCAGAAAGCCACGGCUAACUACGUGCCAGCAGCCGCGGUAAUAC